GAUGAAGAACGUAGCGAAAUGCGAUAAGUAAUGCGAAUUGCAGAUCUCAGUGAGUCAUCGAAUCUUUGAACGCACAUUGCGCCCGCCAGUAUUCUGGCGGGCAUGCCUGUUCGAGCGUCAUUUCAACCAUCAAGCCCCAGGCUUGUGUUGGGGACCUGCGGCUGCCGCAGGCCCUGAAAACCAGUGGCGGGCUCGCUGUCACACCGGGCGUAGUAGAUUUUAUCUCGCUCAGGGCGUGCUGCGGGUUCCGGCCGUUAAAAAGCCUUUUUUACCCAAGGUUGACCUCGGAUCAGGUAGGAAGACCCGCUGAACUUAAGCAUAUCAAUAAGCGGAGGA
rnacentral:misc_RNA from 1 species